UGAGUGCUGUGAUUACAGGUGUGUGCUA
rnacentral:piRNA from 1 species